rnacentral:rRNA from 1 species
UACAGAGGGGGCAAGCGUUGUUCGGAAUUACUGGGCGUAAAGGGCGCGUAGGCGGCCUUCUAAGUCGAACGUGAAAUCCCCGGGCUCAACCCGGGAACUGCGUCCGAGACUGGACGGCUCGAAUCCGGGAGAGGGAUGUGGAAUUCCAGGUGUAGCGGUGAAAUGCGUAGAUAUCAGGAGGAACACCGGUGGCGAAGGCGGGUCUCUGGGCCGAUACUGACGCUGAGGAGCGAAAGCGUGGGGAGCGAACGGG